rnacentral:rRNA from 1 species
GUGGGGAAUUUUGGACAAUGGGCGCAAGCCUGAUCCAGCCAUGCCGCGUGUGUGAAGAAGGCCUUCGGGUUGUAAAGCACUUUCGGACGGAACGAAAUCGCGCGGGCGAAUACCCCGCGUGGAUGACGGUACCGUAAGAAGAAGCACCGGCUAACUACGUGCCAGCAGCCGCGGUAAUACGUAGGGUGCGAGCGUUAAUCGGAAUUACUGGGCGUAAAGCGUGCGCAGGUGGCGUCGCAAGUCAGGCGUGAAAUCCCCGAGCUCAACUUGGGAAUUGCGCUUGAAACUACGGUGCUGGAGUGCGGCAGAGGGAGGUGGAAUUCCACGUGUAGCGGUGAAAUGCGUAGAGAUGUGGAGGAACACCGAUGGCGAAGGCAGCCUCCUGGGUCGACACUGACGCUCAUGCACGAAAGCGUGGGGAGCAAACAGGAUUAGAUACCCGAGUAGUCC